ensembl:lncRNA
AUGACCCCGGGCGGACUUCGGCAGCGGCCCUACCAGGUCCAUUCCGAUCCACUCGAAGGGCACCUCAAUGAUGGGCAGCGGAAUCAGCGGGCUGGGGGGAGGGGUGCGUGGAGACGUCCGUUGACAGGUGGGACAGGCCAUGCAGAAGCGCUUCACUUCGGCCUCCAGGCCUGGACAGUGGAAACGGUCGCGGAUGCGUUGGAUGGUGUUUUGAGCUCCCAAGUGGCCGGCCAUGGGAUGGGCAUGCGCCAGCUCCAUCACCGCUCCUGUCUUGGUCCUUGGGACUACCAGCAAGGUUUUUUCCUCCCCCCUUCGCUGUGCGACACAGUACAGCAGGCCAUCUUUGACCACGAAGUGCAGUGUUGGGUGGGGUGCCGGUUGGAGAUCCUUCCCUUUGGCGACCCUCACUUGGGCCCAGCAGUGUUUGAGGCGGUCAUCCUCGUGCUGCUCCCGGGCAAAGGCCCCAGCCACCUGCUGGAAGAGGUCAUAAAAGAGGUUAGGGCUAUGACGGGAAGACUCACCCUCCCUGGGGCUGUCCGAGGCCAGCAGCACGGGGCGCCGUCGGGGCUUUGUAGUCGUCCGGCACUGGGAGCGGUUCCCGGCAGGGCUGACAGGCUGGCUAGCGGAGGCGAAGAGGCGGUCGAACCCCGGCCAAUCCCUGCCGAGGAGGACCGGUACAGGCAGAUCCUUGACGAUCCCAACUUCCACUGGCCAGGCACCCGGGGGUGCCGUGAUAGUGACGCGCCGCGCCGGUACUUCCCUGGUGUCGCCGUGGACGCAGGUGAUGGACAGUCUGGGUUUGGGUUCCGGCCGUGGAGGAAGGACUGUCGGCCUGAUCAGGGCGACCCCGCUGCCAGAAUCGAGGAGGGCGAGGACCGGUCGGCCAUUUACCGUCACUUUUCCGCUCGUGGGGCCUGCUUUGGAGGUUCCGCGUGUACGGUACAGCCUGCCAGCCAAGCACGUCCAGGGGAAUGGGGAGCUUCGGUAGGCAUGGGCUCAUCCUGUGGCCCGGGAACCGCCGGCCUGCCGACUGGUCGCUGGGUGCCCUCCGGCACGCGUCGCUCCUGGACCACCCUUCGGGGAAAGGGUGGCGCUCGCUCCCCAGCCUCCCGGUGUUGGGUGGCUUCCGCCAGCUCGAUGGCCUCCACCAGCCCGUCGACAUUGGUGGGGUUCCGCAUACCGGCCGCCUGCCGUAGAGGGCGGGGAAGGGCCCGAAGGAGGCGGUCCACUACUACGCGCUCCGCUACCUGGUGUGCGGUGGGACCCCCAGCCAGUAGCCAAUGUUGGGCAAGGCGGCAGAGGUCGGUCACUUGCGCACGGGCGGGCCGCCUUGGAUUGUAG